UUUAAGGGACAAAAGGAAAAAAAUUUUUAGGAUAAAUUACAACUUGAGAGCCAUAUAAAAGUGACAAUAGGAUAUAUAUCUCAUUUUUUUUAAAUACCAAGAUUUUUUUUUCCUUUUGUCGGAUCGAACCCCAAGAUAGGGCUGCCUACGUAUCCAUUUAGGAAUCAGGUCGAACGUAGUUCAAUGCUAACGCAUUAUCUU
rnacentral:lncRNA from 1 species